GAUCCUGGCUCAGGAUGAACGCUAGCUACAGGCUUAACACAUGCAAGUCGAGGGGAAACGACAUUGAAGCUUGCUUCGAUGGUCGUCGACCGGCGCACGGGUGAGUAACGCGUAUCCAACCUGCCUCUGACUAAGGGAUAACCCGGCGAAAGUCGGACUAAUACCUUAUGAGGUUUUCAGCAGACAUCUAAUGAAAACGAAAGAUUUAUCGGUCAGUGAUGGGGAUGCGUCUGAUUAG
rnacentral:rRNA from 1 species